ACGUAGGGUGCAAGCGUUGUCCGGAAUUAUUGGGCGUAAAGAGCUCGUAGGCGGUUUGUCGCGUCUGCUGUGAAAUCUGGUGGCUCAACCAUCAGCGUGCAGUGGGUACGGGCAGGCUAGAGUGCGGUAGGGGAGAUUGGAAUUCCUGGUGUAGCGGUGAAAUGCGCAGAUAUCAGGAGGAACACCGGUGGCGAAGGCGGGUCUCUGGGCCUUACCUGACGCUGAGGAGCGAAAGCAUGGGUAGCCAACAGGA
rnacentral:rRNA from 1 species